rnacentral:tRNA from 1 species
AUUUAAAUAGCUUAAAUUUAGAGCAUAAUAUUGAAGAUAUUAAAGUGGUUAAUUAACCUUUAAAUA